AUGCAGUCGUCGCUACGAUGUGAAAAUCCUACUGGAAAAUGUAUUAGAGCAAUUAUCCGUCUCACUCCGCAGCCGGGUGUAGCAUUAAUAUUCAAUUUUGAUGUGCAAAGUCCUAUUAUGUUAAUGACUUCGGUGACAAAAGUCGGCCGUGGAAGACUUUAUUCUUUAUGGCUCAGCAUCGGCGGGGGUGAGAGCAGCGGGGAUGGAUCACACCCAGCGCUGCCCGUUGUGGGCCGGCAGUGCUGCGGGGCACCCGGUGCUGCAGCCGCCCUCCUUUGUUCUCUGUGGGGCUGGGGGGUGUGCGGGGCUCCUUCCACUGCGCUGCCGGGAUCGGGGCUGCCCCGAGGCGAUGCGGGUGGAGGGUGGGCAGCGCUGCGGACCCGUAUGGAUGGAUGGACACAUGGAUGGACACGGAGGUGGGUGGGUGGNNNNNNNNNNNNNNNNNNNNNNNNNNNNNNNNNNNUGGAUGGAUGGAUGGAUGGAUGGAUGGAUGGAUGGAUGGAUGGAUGGAUGGAUGGAUGGAUCAAGGUCGCAACCAGAGCGCGGCGCCGCUGUUGCCGACCCCUGUCGUUAUUGAACGGCCCCGCAGCUCACUGGGGACACGGAGCCGAACCCGCGGUGCUCAUUGCUGCCCCAUGGGACGGGAACGGGACACGGAGAUGGGCAGAAAAGGGGCAAAACGGCAUUGCCCGUGAGCCCGGGGGGGGGGGAGGUUGUGGGGUGGACCCCCUGCAGACCCCACCGGGGCGGGGGUUAAUAGACAGGCAGCCCCUCGGGGUCCGUGUGAUCCCCCUGGGCCCACCCACGGCCCCAUCACGGCUCAGGGACCCGCUGCGUUGGCACCGUGUGUCCGGAUGGGGUCGGGGUGUUUGGGGUGUUAACGGGGGCAGCCCCGCGCUCUGUCCCGCGGUGGCGGCGCCGCGCGCACGUGGCCGAGCUGGGGCAUCCCCGGCCGCGCCACGCCGCCCCUCCCCCCGCUCUCCCAUUGGUCAGCCCUUCCCCCCGCCGCGCUCCCAUUGGUCCCUGAGCCCUCCACAAACAAAGGCCGGCGCCCGCGGGGGCUCCGCGCGCCGCUCUCAUUGGUGGGUUGUUGGCGGGAGUGGGCGGAGCCAGAGUGCAGCGGGUCCCGCCCUCCGCGCCGCGCCAGUUGCCUUAUAA
rnacentral:lncRNA from 1 species